rnacentral:rRNA from 1 species
AGUGAACGCUGGCGGUAGGCCUAACACAUGCAAGUCGAACGGCAGCACAGUAAGAGCUUGCUCUUACGGGUGGCGAGUGGCGGACGGGUGAGGAAUACAGCGGAAUCUACUUUUUCGUGGGGGAUAACGUAGGGAAACUUACGCUAAUACCGCAUACGACCUACAGGUUAAAGCAGGGGAUCUUCGGAACUAGCACGAUUGAAUGAGCCGAUGUCGGAUUAGCUAGUUGGCGGGGUAAAGGCCCAGCAAGGCGACGAUCCGUAGCUGGUCUGAGAGGAUGAUCAGCCACACGGGAACUGAGACGCGGUCCAGACUCCUAAGGGAGACACCAGUCGGGAAUCUUGGACAAUGGGCGGAAGCCUGAUCCAGCCAUACCGCGUGGGUGAAGAAGGGCUUCGGGUUGUGAAGGCCUUUUGUUGGGAAAGAAAAGCAGCAGGUUAAUACCGCGCUGUUCUGACGGUACCCAAAGAAUAAGCACCGGCUAACUUCGUG